rnacentral:tRNA from 1 species
GCCCGGUUAGCUCAGUCUGUAGGGCACCAGACUCUUAGUCUGGCUGCUGCCGGUUCCAAUCCCGCAUCGGGCU